rnacentral:rRNA from 1 species
GACAGAGGGUGCAAACGUUGUUCGGAAUUACUGGGCGUAAAGCGUGUGUAGGCGGUCCACUAAGUCGGGUGUGAAAGCCCUGUGCUCAACCCAGGAAGUGCACUCGAAACUGGCGGGCUAGAGUAUCGGAGAGGUUGGUGGAAUUCUCGGUGUAGAGGUGAAAUUCGUAGAUAUCGAGAGGAACACCGGUGGCGAAGGCGGCCAACUGGACGAAUACUGACGCUGAGACACGAAAGCGUGGGGAGCAAACAGG